rnacentral:rRNA from 1 species
CCUACGUGAGGCAGCAGUGGGGAAUUUUGGACAAUGGGGGCAACCCUGAUCCAGCCAUGCCGCGUGAGUGAAGAAGGCCUUCGGGUUGUAAAGCUCUUUCGGCCGGGAAGAAAUCGUGCGGGCUAAUACCCUGUAUGGAUGACGGUACCGGAAGAAGAAGCACCGGCUAACUACGUGCCAGCAGCCGCGGUAAUACGUAGGGUGCGAGCGUUAAUCGGAAUUACUGGGCGUAAAGCGUGCGCAGGCGGUUUCGUAAGACAGUUGUGAAAUCCCCGGGCUUAACCUGGGAACUGCGUUUGUGACUGCGAGACUUGAGUGCGGCAGAGGGGGGUGGAAUUCCACGUGUAGCAGUGAAAUGCGUAGAGAUGUGGAGGAACACCGAUGGCGAAGGCAGCCCCCUGGGUCGACACUGACGCUCAUGCACGAAAGCGUGGGGAGCAAACAGGAUUAGAUACCCGGGUAGUCCA